CGAAAGCCUGACGGAGCAAUACCGCGUGAGGGAGGAAGGCUCUUGGGUUGUAAACCUCUUUUCUCAGGGAAGAAUGACGGUACCUAAGGAAUAAGCAUCGGCUAACUCCGUGCCAGCAGCCGCGGUAAUACGGAGGAUGCAAGCGUUAUCCGGAAUUAUUGGGCGUAAAGCGUCCGCAGGUGGCAAUUCAAGUCUGCUGUCAAAGGUUCUGGCUCAACCAGAGACAGGCAGUGGAAACUGAAUAGCUAGAGUGCGGUAGGGGCAGAGGGAAUUCCCAGUGUAGCGGUGAAAUGCGUAGAGAUUGGGAAGAACACCGGUGGCGAAAGCGCUCUGCUAGGCCGUAACUGACACUCAUGGACGAAAGCUAGGGGAGCGAAUGGGAUU
rnacentral:rRNA from 1 species